AUUGCCAGUGUGUGACUGUGAAGGCCACAUGGUCCUUCGAAAACUCAAAUGCAAGGGACGUGUUUCUCCCCAAGAAAAGGUGGCUGGCUUGAUGACUGUGAGUGCUGCCUUCCCCUUUUCCCCCACUGGGCUAACUCCUAACUCCUCACCGGUGACAUGGCUCAAGAUCGCUUCUCUUAGAAGGACGUCCCGAUCCGCCGCUACCCCGCAUGGCCCCCAAGCUGGACUGGAGCCUGCAUUCGUCCCCAGGACUUCCGUGAAAAGUGACCACAAAGGGAACAGCUGGAUACAACAGGGAUUUACUGCCUCCCAGUUCUGGAGGCCAGAAAUCCAGGUGUCAGGACCGUGUUCCCUCUGAAGGCCCUAGGGGAGGACCCUUCCUUGCCCUUCCCAGUGUCCCAUGGUCGCUGGCAUCCUCUGUGUCCCUUGGGUUGGGACAGCCCCUCUCUAAUCUCUGCCUCCACCUGUACAUGGCCAUCUUCCCUGGAUGUGUGUCCAAAACUCUCUCCUUUAUAAAGACACCAGUCAUUGGAUGUAAGGCCCACCCUACUCCAGCGUGACCUCAUCUUAACUCCAUGACGUCUGCCAAGGUCCUUAUCCAAAUGGCCCUUAUCCCAAUAAGGUCACAUUCACAGGUAUCAGGGGUUAGACCUGGAACAUAUCCUUUUCAGAACACUAUUCAGCCAGCCCACACCAGCACCCCCGACAGGCGCUACCGUGCAUCCUUUUCAUGCUGUUGUGUAAUGAUCUGUUCCUGAGUAUCUCCCCAAGUUAGCCCAGGUCUUUAGAGAUACCUGGUUCAUCUCCUUUCCCCUGGGGCCUCACACAGUACUGGGCCCAGAAGACACUCAGUGUGGACAGAAUGAACAGAUUACUUUAUAUUUUAAUAACGAUUAUAUCUGUGGGAAAGAAUUAGAACGUACCUUCUCCAGACAGUUUGAGCAUAUUCUACUGAGGUUUCAAAGCCAUUUUACUCAGUUUCAAAGGUCUUUUAAUGACAAGGACGCAUUUGGCUAAAUGAAAGAAAAAAAUGGCCACAGUUUACCUCUGUAACUAGGCUCCGAAUGAGUCAGGCUUCCACCUUCCGGCCUCGGCCAAAGAACCUCAAAGCUCUAUGUGUGAUGAAGUCACCGGAAUGUUUACAGGGCAACCAUGGGAGGGGGCAUACAAGCCCACCUUGUGACAUUUCUUGUUAGCAGCAAUCAUCUCUUUGAUGUUUACAUCUGAGGCUUCUUUGACGAGUAAAACAAGUUUGCAUGAGAGUUAUUUAAAAGUUUUCUUAGUAUUAAAAUAUAUCCAGAUAACA